rnacentral:rRNA from 1 species
UACAGAGGGUGCAAGCGUUGUUCGGAAUUAUUGGGCGUAAAGCGCGUGUAGGCGGCUUGGCAAGUCGGGUGUGAAAGCCCUCAGCUCAACUGAGGAAGUGCGCCCGAAACUGCUUGGCUUGAGUGCCAGAGAGGAUGGCGGAAUUCCCGAAGUAGAGGUGAAAUUCGUAGAUAUCGGGAGGAACACCGGUGGCGAAGGCGGCAUCCUGGACCGGCAUUGACGCUGAGGCGCGAAAGCUAGGGGAGCAAACGGG